CCUGUCAUACUUAAGAGCAAACUGCUGCUAUCUGGGCUGGGUUAGGAUCUGUUCUGCCAAGAGGUGGAGGGAUGGAGGCUGACUUCUGACAGCAUUGCCAGUCUGGGAGAUUUCUGUGCUGUGGCAGCCCAGGAACAGUACAGAACCAGCAGUCAUCGUCAGCUCCAACCUCGCAGGAGAGAAGCAGCAACCCUGCCCCCCGCAGGCAGCAGGCGUUUGUGGCCCCGCUCUCCCAAGCCCCCUACGCCUUCCAGCACGGCAGCCCACUACACUCGACGGGGCACCCACACCUGGCCCCAGCCCCUGCUCACCUGCCGAGCCAGCCCCACCUGUAUACGUAUGCUGCCCCCACCUCUGCUGCUGCGUUGGGCUCCACCAGCUCCAUUGCUCAUCUCUUCUCCCCACAGGGCUCCUCAAGGCAUGCUGCAGCCUAUACCACCCACCCUAGCACUCUGGUACACCAGGUCCCUGUCAGUGUUGGGCCCAGCCUUCUCACUUCUGCCAGUGUGGCCCCUGCUCAGUACCAACACCAGUUUGCCACCCAGUCCUACAUUGGGUCUUCCCGAGGCUCAACAAUUUACACUGGAUACCCACUGAGUCCUACCAAGAUCAGCCAGUAUUCCUAUUUGUAGUUGGUGAGCAGAGGGAGGAGGGGUCAUGGCUGCCUGUUCCUGGCUCUGAGUUCUUAAUAACAGGCUAUGACGAGCUCUCCUCCCUUAAGCCCCUCUUGAAACUCCUUAGCCAGCAACUUGUUCUGCAGGGGCCCACUGAAGCAGAAGGUUUUUCUCUGGGGAACCUGUCUUAGUGUUGACUGCAUUGUUGUAGUCUCCCAAAGUCUGCCCUAUUUUUUAAUUCUUUAUUUUUGUGACAGCAUUUUUGCUAUUUGGAAGAGUUCAGAUGCCCAUCUUCUGCAGUUACCAAGGAAGAGAGAUCGUUCUGAAGUUACCCUUUGAAAAAUAUUUUCUCUCUGACUUGAUUUCUAUAAAUGUUUUUAAAAAACCAAGUGAAGCCCCUCUUUAUUUAACUUUGUUUUAUUGUAAUUGCUGGUCAGAGGAAAAAUGCUGAUGGAAGGAUUUGAAAUCCGGUAACAAGUGAGAAAAGAAAAAUCAUCACUUUUUGCUUGUUUAAAAACCAAGAUUUAAUUGCCUAUUUUAAGAGCAGCUUACACAAGUCUGUAUCUGACUAUCAGGCAUUUCUCCUCUCAAAAUUUUACCUUUCUUAUGGGACAUUAGACUUACAGUGUUUUAGCUUUGUUUUCAUGUCACGUUACACUUACUGGGCAAUUGUUAUUUUUGCAAAACUGGUAAUAUACUGCUCUGUGUUACUCUUGGGAUUCUCUCAGUUGCUCCUGUGUUUAUUGUAAAGUAGUGUUAAAAAGGCAGCUCACCAUUUGCUGGCAACUUAGGUGAGAGAAUCCAUACCUACCGUGAAAGCACUAGGCAUUACUCUUUUUAAAUGAAGUACCGUGCAUUCUUCUUAAGUUAUUUUUUAAAAGUCUUUCUCUCUUUCUCUGAUUCAGCUUAAAUUUUAUUAUUGGAAAAGCCAUUAAGGUGGUUAUUAUUGUAUGGUGGUGGUUGUCUUAUUAUAUGCAAAAUCUCUUUGUAUUAUGCGAUAUUGGUAUUGAUGAGCUUUGCCUAAAGGUUGUUGGCAUUGGUGAGCUUUGCCUAAAGAUUAAUAUGAAUUUUCAAUAAUACACCUCUCUCUCUCUUUGCCUCAUCUCUCCCUUCUGUUCUAAGUGAUUUAUUUGGGGAGAAAGCUAAAGAAUCUGAAACCAGAUAAGAACGUUGUGUAUAGCUUUUAUACUUUAAAGUAGCUUCCUUUGUAUGCCAGCAGCAAAUUGAAUGCUCUCUUAUUAAGACUUAUACAAUAAGUGCAUGUAGGAAUUGCAAAAAAUAUUUUAAAAAUUUAUUACUGAAUUUAAAAAUAUUUUAGAAGUUUUGUAAUGGUGGUGUUUUAAUAUUUUGCAUAAUUAAAUAUGUACAUAUUGAUUAGAAAAAUAUAACAAGCAAUUUUUCCUGCUAACCCAAAAUGUUAUUUGUAAUCAAAUGUGUAGUGAUUACACUUGAAUUGUGUAUUUAGUGUGUAUCUGAUCCUCCAGUGUUACCCCGGAGAUGGAAUGGAUGUCUCCAUUGUAUUUAAACCAAAAUGAACUGAUACUUGUUGGAAUGUAUGUGAACUAAUUGCAAUUAUAUUAGAGCAUAUUACUGUAGUGUUGAAUGAGCAGGGGCAUUGCCUGCAAGGAGAGGAGACCCUUGGAAUUGUUUUGCACAGGUGUGUCUGGUGAGGAGUUGUUCAGUGUGUGUCUCUUCUUCCCUAUCUCCUCCUUCCCUUAUUGUAGUGCCUUAUAUGAUAAUGUAGUGGUUCAUAGAGUUUACAGUGAGCUUGCCUUAGGACGGACCAGCAAGCCCUUGUGGACCCUAAGCUGUUCACUGGGAUUUAUCAGAACAGGAUUAGUAGCUGUGUCGUGUAAAUGCAUUGUUGUCAGUUUCCCUGCCUUCGUUGAAAAAUAAAAACAGCAGCUUUUCUCCUUUAGCACCACGUCUACCCCUUUCCAACCCGGAAUCUCAGCUGAGUUCUCACAGAAGCAUUUUCCCCAUGUGGCUCUCUCAUGGCGCAUUGCUACCUUGCUUCUGUGAGAAUUUGGGAAGCAGGUGAGAGGAGUCAAGCCAAUAUGAAAUAUGUGGUUGUUUUCUUUUUCUUUAAAGUAUGUGCAAUCACUUUUAGAAUGAGAUUUUUCUUUUCCUUUUCCCAUGUGGCAGUCCUUCCUGCAAAUAGUUGCCAUUCCUAGUAAAAUAUUUGCUUGUUGAAAAAAAACAUAUAACAGAUCUGUUUAUACCAAAGAGCCUGUUGUAUUGCUUACCAUGUCCCCAUACUAUGAGGAGGAGUUUUGUGAGGCCGCUGGUGACAGGGAACUCACAGGAAGGUUUCUGAGCCGGUGAAGAAUAUUAAAAAGGAACCAAAGCCUGUUGAGUCAUCGGGCUUUUGAGGUUUCUUUUUAACAACUUGAAUAUUCUUGGGGCUGUGAAAUUGUCCUUGUACUCUCAGCUCCUGCAUGGAUCUGGGUCAAGUGGAGGGUACUGGGGAUGGGGAUGUUCCUGCCCAUAAAAGAUUUGGGGGAAGAAGGUUAACUCUAAGAUAUAGAAGUGUUCCAUCUGAAUUGAAAAUUAUGUACUUGAGGGCUAAGUCUAGGACUGGUUCUUUGUAGAGAUGGCGUCAAGGAGGUGCAGGAUGGAGAUGGGAGAUUUCAUGGAGCCUGGUCAGCAAGCUCUGUACCGGGUUGAACACCGAGGAGCUGUCAAGGUAUUUGGAGUUUCUUCAUUGUAAAGAGUAAGGGCUUCCACGAUGGGGCAGAUAGUACAGUCAGUGCAGCCUACCAGGAACAUGUUGGUGUUUUCUGCUUUUUCUUUUUCUUUUUUUUUUUGUGGUCAUUCUCCUGAGUUCGGUUUGCACCGCUAUAUUGGGGAAGAUACCCAAGCAGUUUGUAUAGUUUCCGUCACUAGUGUUACACGGUUUUCUGGUCAACGUGUGUGAUCGUUGUGUUUCCCUUUUUUGCCAAGCAUAUUUUGAUUUUCUUGUUCAAAGGCAGACCUAGUUUCUAGUAGAAACAUUUUUUGUUCCUUACCUUUCCUCUACAAGGGAUAAGAUUUGUUGUUUUUGUAACAAAGGAGAUGCAGGAAAAAAAGUACAAAACACUCCACUCCUGCCCCCCUGUCCAAUAAGUAGAUAACCACUUAAGAUGUGAGUCUUAUAACUUCAUGGGGAAAAGACAAUACCAAGAGUGUGUAUUGUUAUCUGCAACAUCCUUACUAGCAGUGUGUGGCUUUAAGAGUUUUAGAAAUUUUCAGCCUUAGUCUACAAAUUGGCAUUUCAGAUUUACCAAGAUAAAAAUCCAUCUGUGUCCGCUCAAUGUGUAUGUGCUCAAUGUGGCUUUAGAUUCUGUCCCUGGGGCUUAACAUUGCCAGCCCUGACAGGAUGGGGGGAAGCCCUGCGAAUUCAGUGAGCAGUGGCCUAACCUCAGACCAGCUUAAGGCUUUACGUCCUUUCAGAACUUGCAUUUCCAGCUUUUCCCCUUCAGGGUGAGGGAGAAAGUGGGGAAGGUUUAAGUACAGCCACUCUGGGCUCAUUGGGACACUUGAUCACUCCAGAGUUUUAAUAGCUCCCAGGAGGGGGAUACUGCUGUCAGUGCUCAGCUCAGAUACCAGCCCCAGGAAUAAGAACUCCCAUUUCAAACAGUUCUGGCCAUCCAUCGUCCUCCACUAGAGGGGCUCAGCUUGACUGCCCUUAGCCAGGCAAGCACAGUAAUGUGUGUUUUAGUCAGCAUUAUUAUGCAAAAACCCACUGAUUAGGUUGGUUGGUUUUAGGAUAGGAAAUGAAAUUGCCUCUCAGUGACAGGAAUGGCCCAAGCCUGCUUCCUGUUUUGGUUUUUGUUUGUUGUUUUUAUUUUAACUGAUGGAUGGUGCAGCAUGUCUACAUGGUUGUUUGUUGCUAAACUUUAUAUAAUGUGUGGUUUUGAUUCAGCUUGAAAAAUAAUCUCACUACAUGUAGCAGUACAUUAUAUGUACAUUAUAUGUAACGUUAGUAUUUCUGCUUUGAAUCCUUGAUAUUGCAGUGGAAUUCCAACUCUAUUAAAUGUAUUUGAUAUGCUAGUUAUUGUGUGCGAUUUAAACUUUUUUUGCUUUCUCCCUUUUCUGGUUGUGCGCUUCCUUUUACAACAAGCCUCUAGAAACAGUUUCUGAGAAUUAUUGAGCUAUGUUUGUAAUGCAGAUGUACUUAGGGAGUAUGUAAAAUAAUCAUUUUAACAAAAGAAAUAGAUAUUUAAAAUUUAAUACUAACUACGGGAAAAGGGUCCAUUGUGUAAAACAUAGUUUAUCUUUGGAUUCAAUGUUCGUCUUUGGUUUUACAAAGUAGCUUGUAUUUUCAGUAUUUUCUACAUAAUAUGGUAAAAUGUAGAGCAAUUGCAAUGCAUCAAUAAAAUGGGUAAAUUUUCUGAUUCA